GACGAACGCUGGCGGCGUGCUUAACACAUGCAAGUCGAACGGAAAGGCCCUGCUUUUGUGGGGUUCUCGAGUGGCGCACGGGUGUGUAACACGUGAGUAACCUGCCCUUGACUUUGGGAUAACUUCAGGAAACUGGGGCUAAUAUCGGAUAGGAGCUCCUGCUGCAUGGUGGGGGUUGGAAAGUUUCGGCGGUUGGGGAUGGACUCGCGGCUUAUCAGCUUGUUGGUGGGGUAGUGGCUUACCAAGGUUUUGACGGGUAGCCGGCCUGAGAGGGUAACCGGCCACAAUAGGACUGAGAUACGGCCCAGACUCGUACGGGAGGCAACAGUGGGGAGUAUUGCGCAGUGAGCGGAAGCCUGAUGCAGCAACGCCGCGUGCGGGAUGACCGCCUUCGGGUUGUAAACCACUUUCGCCUGUGACGAAGCGUGAGUGACGGUAAUGGAUAAAGAAGCAACGGCUAACUACGUG
rnacentral:rRNA from 1 species